UACGGGGGGGGCAAGCGUUGUCCGGAAUCAUUGGGCGUAAAGCGCGUGUAGGCGGCCUUGUAAGUCCGUUCUGAAAGCCCGGGGCUCAACCCCGGGAGGCGGAUGGAUACUGCAAGGCUCGAGUACGGAAGAGGCGAGUGGAAUUCCCGGUGUAGCGGUGAAAUGCGCAGAUAUCGGGAGGAACACCAAUGGCGAAGGCAGCUCGCUGGGACGUUACUGACGCUGAGACGCGAAAGCGUGGGGAGCAAACAGG
rnacentral:rRNA from 1 species